UAUCCAAAUAAAUGAUAUCACUUUGUGCGAGGAAAACUGCCAAGCUAUUGUUGACACAAGUACUUGGAAAAUAAUUGGACCAGAAACGGAAGUUUCAUUUCGUAAUGACCUUUUUGAAACUAAUUCACAGGGAAAAGUGGACUGCAAUAAAAUUUCUAAAUUGCCUAUAAUCAGGUUUAAUUUGGGUGGUAAGGCGUUCGAUCUUACCGGUAAAGAUUAUAUCAUUCGGCAUCCAAAUGAUGAAAGUAUAUGUGUAUUCGUCUUCUGCAAACACGACCCAACAUAUGACGGUGAAGAAAAAUGAAUUCUGGGCAUGCCAUUUAUUGGCCGUUACUACACUGAAUUUGAUAUGGAGAAAAACCGAGUGGGAUUUGCUUUGGCGAA